rnacentral:lncRNA from 1 species
GGUGCAUGAAAGGAAGUCUUUUAUUCUCUUAGGACUCUUCAUUAGAUGGCUGUUUUAAAUCAAAUAAAAUCUCAACCAAUCCUAAUCAUAUUAGGACCAGGUGAGACCCAAAUAGAUAGAAAACCAAACUUGAUUUGGAGCCCAAUCUAUUUAGAUUAGAUGUCUCCUAAUUAGAGGAGGAAUCCUAAUCCUAUUGGACUCUUUCUUGGUGC